ACACAGAGCCCCUAUUUUGCCCCGCUUAUCAUAUAUGCUACAGGCGCAUCUUAGAGUACUCUACCUGUGACGAUGUCCGAUUAAAACCCUAAACCCUAAAACAAUUUUCCCGGCGAUCAAUCUGCUCAAGACUCAAGGAGAUGGGAAGCAUUAAGCGAAUGCCUAAGGCUAUUUGGAGUUCGGCGAGCAUUAAGCGAAUGCCUGAGGCUAUUUGGAGUUCAAUUCAGUCAGGGAUUAUCUUGUACGAUUUUGGGUUGUUGAGGAGUUGGUUUCAAUAGCCUCGAUACUGGUGCCACCAAGGUAUAUGUUGCUAUAGGCAGUGGGACCUGCUAUGUUGAGGUGGAUGACAAUGGAUCUGGUGUUUCACGAGAUGUGCUGAUGUGAGAAAUAUUUGGUAACCUUUUUUCAAAGUGUUGUACUGAAGUUGAGCUGGAACAUACACAUUAGCGCAUAGGACUUUUAGCCCAGUUUAUGGAGACAGUAUAUGCGCCUGUUUCUUUCAUCUUCUGUUCUAUUUCCUUUUUGUCUGGCCAUUCUAACUAUGUUAUCGUAUGCUUCAUUUACACCAGCGACAUCAAAAUACAGACAUUUAAAUGAUAUGCAUGAUUUUCCAGCAAGUUUUGGCUUCAAACGAGAGGCUCUGAGCUAUAUUUCUGACUUUUCUUUGUUGGAAAUUGCUACUAAACUCACUGGAGGCCAAAUGAAUUCGUAAGGUUUUGAAGUGAGGAUGACCUGCUUUGCACACGUGCUUCUCCUUCCCCAUUGUCGUAUUGUCCAAUGGGUUUGGGAUUCAUCUGAGUUCCUUUAAUAAAUUGAAUGCAAUCGAUGGUUCAUUCAAGCUCUCUGGAUACAUCUCAGCGGCAUCAAAAUACAACCAUUCAUAUGAUAUGCAUACUUUCGUAGCAAGCUUUGGCUUUAAAGGAGAGGCUCUGAGCUCUAUUUCUGACGUUUCUUUUUGGAAAUUCUAAAACUCAUGGGAGGCCAAAUGGAUAUCCUGAGGUUUUGACGGAUGGCAAGUGUUUGUACCUUGGAAUUGAUGACUGUAGAGAAGACGUUGGUACAACAGUCAUUUCUUCAUGAUGUAUUUUACAACCAACCUUUUUCGAAGGAAGCAAAUGCAUUCCAAGCACUUCUAGUUUUCUCAAAAUCAAACAAUGUCUCCUUCAAAACUGUUUAUAUUGAAAGUGAGGAUGACCUGCUUUGCACACGUGCUUCUCCUUCUCCUUGCCACUGUUGUCCAGUGGGUUUGAGAUUCAUCUGAGUUCCCUUAACAAAUUGAAUGCAAGCGUUGGUGCAUUCAAGCUUUAAGGAUACUUCUCAGGUCCUGAUGUUUACACAGUGAAGGUCCUGCAGUAUUUCUAUAUUCACUUAUAUCGUGCUUCUGACUUUAAGCAGCGAAAUAGAUCUCAGAUAUUAUAUCCACUGUUCUUGUUGAACCUAAACUGCCCAAGAUCUUUAUAUGAUUUGACUUUGGAGCCUUCAAAGACCUCUGUGGAAUUUAAGAUAUACCUGAGAAUUAUGAGAUCAAGAAAAAGAGGUGCAGGGCCCAGUGUUGCAA